GGGAUUCGAGUCCACCGUCUUCUUGGUCUGCUGGCUUUCUGAAUAGAGUCGCUAUUCCUUGCCCCAGCAAGUCCUCUCUCCAUUUAUUGGCCUGUCCUGCCUUGCUACUCCUGGCUAGCUGGCAGUUGGGGAAUUUGGGGGUAAGGCCCAGCAGCUGCUGCAACCGCUUGUCCUGAGAAUCUUCUCUUCAGAACUCCCCGAAGCUGCACUGACUGCCCCAGCGCUUGGCAGUUGGAGCAAGGAAUCAACAUUUGGGAGCAGACAGGCUCCAUACAGGGGGAUUCUUUUGUAUUCCAGCUUAUUACAAGAUACUGAAUAUAGUUCUCUGUGCUAUACAGCCAUUCUGCUCUGCAGCCAGGCUGGUCAACAGGAGGAAGCCCACUGCUCAGCCUGAAGGUCCCCAUCACCUACAUGCUUCAGUGAUAUCUUUAACCAUUCUUGUACAGAAGCUCUCUGCUCCAGCUGGCCUAACCUGAAUCACCACGACAGGCAAAUCUCUGCCACUGAUUCAUUAC